GGCCGCCGGUCCUGCUGGCGAUGUGCCAGCGUGGGCCCCCCCCCGUCCUCGGGGCUGGGGCCCUGUCCCUGCCGGCCUUAGGCCGCGAGGCCGUUGCUGGGAGUGCCGGGCCUCGGGGGGGGGCGGCCCCCUAAGUGGGGCUUUGUGCGUCCCCCCUGCUCGGCGGGCGGUUGGAGGGACCCCCUGUAAUCAGGCGGGUGUCCCGCGGGGUCCCCCGGCCUCUCACGGGCGUGGGGCUGGGCGUGUGCCCUCCCUGCCCUCGGGGCCCAGCUCAGGGCCUUAGGCCACGAGCCCCAGUGCCUGGCCCUUGAGCCAGGUACUUGAUGCCGCGGGGGAAGGCCGAGCUCCGUGGCUCCCUGGGUGUGGACCCGCCUGUAAGCAGGGUCCGGGUCUGGGAGCCUUUGCGCUCCCUCAGCUGGCAGCCUGUGCGGGGCGACCGCCCCGUUAGCGGGGAGCGGGUCAGGUGCCCCCCGAAGCGGAGAGAAGGAGCCUCCGUAGGCCUUUGGGCCCAGGGCCCCCCUGUAAGUCGGGGUCAGUGCCCUGGUGUCCCAGGCCCUUUGUGGUCCAGGCAGCGGCCGGAGCCCCCUGUAAGCAGGGCGGCAGCCUCUUUGGCCGCUGCUUCGCGUGCCCAGCUGCCUUUGCCCAGAGGGCCCGGCUCCCCGCAGCGGGUGGGACUGCGCCGUGCGUCGCCGUGAAGCCGUCGGAGAAGAGAGCGGAAGAGGCGUCGCGCGGGACGGCAGCGCCGGCGCGGGAAGACGCCGCGGAGCCCUCCGAGAAGAAAGCAGAGCCGUGGAGCGGGACGGCGAGGCAAGAGCGAGGAAGAAGAGCGUCGGCUUCGCGCUCAAGAGGGGGG